AGCCAUGGAAACCUUUAGCUUGUGCAGGAAAAGAAAUGACUGGAAAUGUUCCUUAGUGACUAACUUGCUGCAAGACGGUAUUCACCUCUGCCGAGCAGAAAGUACAUGAAGGAUGCAUUUAAACCAGGAGCUGUGAAGGUUUAUGGAAGUAGACAACUCCUGUGACCCAUCCACUCUUCACCCCCUUGUACUCUGUUCUCAUCUAUUUGAAGAAAAAUCCACGAGCAAACUGUAGAAAGGGCAGAUUUAUUGCUAAUCUGGGACGUCUCUUGACCCGUGUGCACAGAUGAUGAGCAUUUUCCCUUUCAGUAUUGGCUUCUUUGCCUGCUGGUGCAGAAGAAGUUGUCCUGAAAGCCCGCCAGGAACCUAAGCAAUAGAAACAUUUCCCUCCUUGGUUGUGAGGCUAUUCCUGCGCUGAAUUUGUCAGAUGAUCAAAGUCAGUAACUCAGUGCAUUUUGCCUCUACUUUGUCAAGUGCAGAAACCUUUAGAGCAAAAUCUGCAAUGUAACCACAAAGGAGGAGAUUAAGACUAUGUCACGAAAGAGGGUCUCAUGGGGUUUUUCAGAUAAAUGCGUUGUUGAUGGCAAGCGAAUGCACCCCCAGGAUCUCUGAUGGUGGGCACACGCAAAAUUUAAUUGCGGUAAGCUGUUUGUCGGGGAUUUGAUCUCCAGUGGAUCAGCUUCCCUGGGUCGCUGCACUUCCCACCAGGGUGUCCAUGUGUCACCUUAAGAGAAAGCCACACCGAGCAGGAGGCAAACUUGAGGCAAGAUGGUAAUCUCCCUUCUGGCAAAGAUGCUUCUAGCAUCAUUUUUAUGAUGUGAAGACAGGAAGUACGGCUUCCCAAGGAGAAGUUUUAAGAGAAUGGAGAUAAUGAAUUUUAAUCGUGGAUUUCCUCGUGUUGCAGGAACCCAGGGUAUUUGUUCCCUCUCUCCUACCUCUCUUUCUCAUGUUGUAACAUACUGUAACUGUGGGCUUUGGUUUUUAUUGGGCUUUGGUCUGAGGUUCCAUCUAUGUUAGUG